GAGGCUAUAGCUCAAUGGUAGAGCGCCCGAGCAAUCGGGAGGUCAGGGGUUCGAUUCCCUUUAGCUUCUCCA
rnacentral:tRNA from 1 species